CUCAACACAGUGCUACCCAGGUCUAGACCAAAUGAAAAAUCAGGUAGGAGAGAGCCUGCAAGGUGCAAUACACCACGCCCAAGAUAGAGAAUCCCUGGAGGCAAACGAUUGAUGGACUUCCUACAUGAUGCCACCACACCCCUCCGAGAGGUUUACGGACGACGAACGAACGAUACUCACGAUUUAGUAUCAAAAAUAGCUAUUUUCUGGACAAAUUAAUCUAAUGCCAUUUGAAGUGAAACAUUCUGUCUACUAGCUACAAGUUUGAUCUCUGUUACAAGCUUCUAUAAUAAUAACAUAUAAUAAGCAUCUUUGUUUGCUAAAUAACCGACAAUUACCACAAUUACUGUUAAAUCUUCUUAAUUAAUUAAUAAUAAUUCUUAAUAAAUUUUGGUGAAACACUAAUUGAACGCACCAUUUUUUUGUCAUUAAAGAUGUUGGAAUGACAGAUGGAAAGCCGACAAACAAAAAUUUAAUUUUAUUGGUUUUUGUAGAAAAACGAUGAUUAAAUCAGCCAUAAACUUUGCUUCAGAGAAGGCACGACUUGGCCUUAACGAAACAUAUGUUGCCUAAUGUGAACGGGAUUUUUUUCAAAAAGAUGGCAUCCGUAUGGAAAUAGGAUUAUCAUCUUCAAUUGCCAGUGCAAUUUUCACAAACAUUACCAGCGCAGUUUAUUACAUAUUCUUUGCACUCUCUUACAUAUUAAAUUUUUUUAUUCCUUUGAUAAUAACCGCUUCUUAUAUUCUGAUAUUGCCCCUACAACUAACUCUAUUGCCGAUUCGAAUUUUCAUAUUCAUAAUAACAUUUCCAGCAAGAAUUCUUCUAUUUUUACUGAAAGCUCUUUUGGUAUUUUUAGUAUUAUUUAUAUCGCCUGAAAGAUUGUACUAUAUGAUGCGCAACUUGCAAGAUGCAAUGAGAAACUUUCGUGUCACAGAUUUGAGAAGGUACUUUUAAUGUGAAAAAGGCGAAAUAUAAGCGAAUAAAAUCUCGACAAAGGUAA